GAGAUCCCCGCCCUUCCCCCCCAAACCCUGUCCUGCUCCUCGUGGCCCCGCCUCCGCUCGCGAUGCUCCUGCCCACCUCAUCGCCGUGACAGCCGCCUUCGCGUCCGCCGCCAGAUCCCCGCCCUUCCCCCAAACCCUGCCCUGCACCACGCAAAUCCUAUGACCAGACCUGACCUGAUCGAUCGCCUACGCCCCACACAACACCACGAGCCCACGACGCACCCCGCAAGCGAAGCAAAGCAAGCCCCAGGCGGCGCCGCCGAUGGAGGAUGCGAUGGGGAAUAAGAUCGUGCGGACGACGCAGGCGUCGGCGACGGAGUACUACCUCCACGACCUGUCGUCCACCUACAAUCUCGUGCUCCUCGACGUCGUCAGCCGCGGCCGCUUCCUCAAGUCCGUCCGCUGCAAGCACGACGAAGGGUUGCUCCUCGUCAAGGUCUACUUUAAGCGCGCCGGCGAGUCCAUAGACCUCAAGGAGCACGAGCGGAGGCUGGAGCGGAUUAGGAAUGCAUUCAAGGGGAUCGAGGGGUCCCACGUAUGGCCCUUCUAGUGUUGUUCAGGUUUGGCUGCAAACAGAUAAGGCAACAUAUCUCUUGAGACAAUACUUCUUCAGCAACUUGCAAGAUCGACUGAGUACACGCCCUUUCCUCAGUCAGGUUGCAAAGAAAUGGCUUGCCUUUCAGAUAAUUCAUGCAGUGGAACAAAGCCAUAGUAAGGGAAUUUUGCCAUGGUGAGAAGGGUUUGUUUGAGUAGCAUUGGAAGAAAAUGUUGGCUGUUAUUUUCACACUUUUUUGCGGCCAGGUGACAUAAAAUGUGAAAAUGUGCUCGUUACUUUUUGGAAUUGGUUAUAUCUUGCGGACUUUGCAUCAUUCAAGCCAACGUAUAUCUCGGAUGAUGAUCCGUCUGAUUUCUCAUUCUAUUUCCACACUGGAGGAAGACGACGAUGCUAUCUAGCACCUGAAAGAUUCUAUGAAAGUGGUGGUGAAUCACAAGUUGCAGCAGACGCACCUCUGCAACCAUCUAUGGAUAUAUUUUCUCUUGGGUAUGCACAUUCAUGUUAAUUUUUAGUUUUGUUUCAUGUUUGACCUUUUCACCUGGUAUGGCAGUAUAUGCUUCCCAUGCCAAAUAGUUUUCCUAUGAUCUGUCAGCGUCGUCAUUGUAAUAUUUAGUGUUACAGUGAUAUUUUGCUACACGGAUUUUGCAUAACAUAGUGAUGUUUAUCGUCC